GAGUUUGAUCAUGGCUCAGAAUGAACGUUGGCGGCGUGGAUUAGGCAUGCGAGUCGUACGAGAACCCGCAAGGGGGAAAGUGGCGAACGAGGUAGUAAUGCGUAGGUGACGUGCCCUAAAAAAAAGGAUAGCUUAGGGAAACUUAAGGUAAUACUCGAUGAUCCCGGAUGAUUUGAAGAUCGACCGGGCAAAGGUGUGAUUCCAUCACAGGAGCGGCUUGCGUGGUAUUAGCUAGUUGGUGAGGUAACGGCUCACCAAGGCUUCGAUGCCUAGGGGAUGUUAGCGCAUGAUCCCCACCACUGGGACUGAGAUACUGCCCAGACACCUACGGGUGGCUGCAGUCGAGAAUCUUCGGCAAUGGGCGAAAGCCUGACCGAGCGACGCCGCGUGUGGGAUGAAGGCCCUUGGGUUGUAAACCACUGUCAGGGGGGAUGAAAUGCCGGUUAGCAAUCUUUCCGGUUUGACAUGGCCUCAGAGGAAGCACGGGCUAAGCUCGUGCCAGCAGCCGCGGUAAAA
rnacentral:rRNA from 1 species